rnacentral:rRNA from 1 species
UACGUAGGGUGCGAGCGUUAAUCGGAAUUACUGGGCGUAAAGCGUGCGCAGGCGGUGAUGUAAGACGGGUGGGAAAUCCCCAGGCUUAACCUGGGAACUGCAUUUGUGACUGCAUCGCUGGAGUGCGGCAGAGGGGGAUGGAAUUCCGCGUGUAGCAGUGAAAUGCGUAGAUAUGCGGAGGAACACCGAUGGCGAAGGCAAUCCCCUGGGCCUGCACUGACGCUCAUGCACGAAAGCGUGGGGAGCAAACAGG